UACGUAUGGGGCAAGCGUUAUCCGGAUUUACUGGGUGUAAAGGGAGCGUAGGUGGUUUGGCAAGUCAGAUGUGAAAGCCCGGGGCUCAACCCCGGUAGUGCAUUUGAAACUGCCAAACUAGAGUGCAGGAGAGGUAAGUGGAAUUCCUAGUGUAGCGGUGAAAUGCGUAGAUAUUAGGAGGAACACCAGUGGCGAAGGCGACUUACUGGACUGUAACUGACGCUGAGGCACGAAAGCGUGGGGAUCAAACAGG
rnacentral:rRNA from 1 species